AACUUUUGACAAUGGAUCUCUUGGCUCUCGCAUCGAUGAAGAACGCAGCGAAAUGCGAUAAGUAAUGUGAAUUGCAGAUUUUCAGUGAAUCUUCGAAUCUUUGAACGCACCUUCCGCUCCUGGGUAUUCCGAGGAGCAUGCCUUUUUGAGUGUCAUUAAAUUCUCAACUUUGCUUGUCUUUUUGUGUCGAGCGAAGUUCGGAUUUUGGAGUGUGCUGGUGAAGGUCGGCUCCUCUUUAAAUGAAUUAGCGGAAAGGUCAUAUCUGACUUUUGCGGUGAAUCGGCGUGAUAAUAACGUUGUUGCGUCGUUGACCCAAAAGCUCUCUGUCCACUUACAAUGGUCUUCGGACGACUUAUUAUGAAACUUGACCUCAAAUCAGGUAGGACUACCCGCUGAACUUAAGCAUAUCAAUAAGCGGAGGCU
rnacentral:misc_RNA from 1 species